rnacentral:rRNA from 1 species
UACGAAGGGGGCUAGCGUUGCUCGGAAUCACUGGGCGUAAAGCGCACGUAGGCGGAUCGUUAAGUCGGAGGUGAAAUCCCGAGGCUCAACCUCGGAACUGCCUUUGAUACUGGGGAUCUCGAGUCCGGGAGAGGUGAGUGGAACUGCGAGUGUAGAGGUGAAAUUCGUAGAUAUUCGCAAGAACACCAGUGGCGAAGGCGGCUCACUGGCCCGGUACUGACGCUGAGGUGCGAAAGCGUGGGGAGCAAACAGG